rnacentral:rRNA from 1 species
UACGGGGGGGGCAAGCGUUGUUCGGAAUUACUGGGCGUAAAGGGCUCGUAGGCGGCCAACUAAGUCAGACGUGAAAUCCCUCGGCUUAACCGGGGAACUGCGUCUGAUACUGGAUGGCUUGAGUUUGGGAGAGGGAUGCGGAAUUCCAGGUGUAGCGGUGAAAUGCGUAGAUAUCAGGAGGAACACCGGUGGCGAAGGCGGGUCUCUGGGCAACAACUGACGCUGAGGAGCGAAAGCGUGGGGAGCGAACAGG